UACGGAGGAUCCGAGCGUUAUCCGGAUUUAUUGGGCUUAAAGAGCGCGUAGGUGGCCUGUUAAGUCAGGGGUGAAAGACGGUAGCUCAACUAUCGCAGUGCCCUUGAUACUGAUGGGCUUGAAUGAACUAGAGGUAGGCGGAAUGUGACAAGUAGCGGUGAAAUGCAUAGAUAUGUCACAGAACACCAAUUGCGAAGGCAGCUUACUAUGGUUUUAUUGACACUGAGGCACGAAAGCGUGGGGAUCAAACAGG
rnacentral:rRNA from 1 species